UAAAGCGUGCGCAGGCGGUUAUGUAAGACAGAUGUGAAAUCCCCGGGCUCAACCUGGGAACUGCAUUAGUGACUGCAUAGCUGGAGUACGGCAGAGGGGGAUGGAAUUCCGCGUGUAGCAGUGAAAUGCGUAGAUAUGCGGAGGAACACCGAUGGCGAAGGCAAUCCCCUGGGCCUGUACUGACGCUCAUGCACGAAAGCGUGGGGAGCAAACAGGAUUAGAUACCGAGU
rnacentral:rRNA from 1 species